UACGUAGGGUGCGAGCGUUAAUCGGAAUCACUGGGCGUAAAGCGUGCGCAGGCGGCGCGUUAAGACAGGUGUGAAAGCCCCGAGCUUAACUUGGGAAUUGCGCUUGUGACUGGCGUGCUGGAGUGUGGCAGAGGGAGGUGGAAUUCCACGUGUAGCAGUGAAAUGCGUAGAGAUGUGGAGGAACACCGAUGGCGAAGGCAGCCUCCUGGGCCAGCACUGACGCUCAUGCACGAAAGCGUGGGGAGCAAACAGG
rnacentral:rRNA from 1 species